UACCAGCCCUGCGAUUGACGGUGGGAAGUCGGAGAGGAGUUCCAGCAGCUCUGGAUUGGCUAGAGGUGAAUCUGAGAGGAGUUUCCAGCCCUCUGAUAAGGGUAGGUGGAGGGCGGAGAGGAGUUUCCAGCCCUCUGAUAGGCUAGGUGGAGGCCUGAGAGGAGUUACUAGCCCUCUGAUUGGCGUAGUGUUGAAGUCGAGAGGAGUUUUCCAGCCCUCGAAUUUGCGAGUGGGAGAUCUGAGAGGAGUUUCCAGCCCUCU
rnacentral:lncRNA from 1 species